UAUAAAACUUAAUUAAAAUAAUAAAAGGCAGCAAUGUAUUUAUUUUUUUUGUAACUAUAUUUAUGAAUAGAAUCGAGGGCCAUAGUUUUCACUAGAGGCCUCUCUCUCGUAGAAAGCAUACGGUGGGUAAACAAAUUACUGUUGGGCAAUUGAUAGAAAAGUGCAUAGUUAUGCAAUGUUUAUUCAUGGCAAUGAUCAUUACAUAUAGGCAUCACGUUCUUAAGCAAGUAGACCGACUCUUGCCUAGGUCUACUAUUAUUACUUCACCCAUCGACUCCUAUCCAACAUGCAUCUAGAGUAUCAAGUAAUACAGAGUAAUGCUUGAAGAACAAUGACAUGAUAUAGACAAAUAUAAUCCAAUUAAUAUGAAUCAACACCAUCAUUUUAUUCUUAGUGAUAUCAAUACAAAUACUUGUCUUGUCCCCUACUUUAUCACUAGGAUAUAGAGCACCGCAAGAUUGAACCCACUAUAACACACCCCUCUCAGUGAAGAUAAAUCAAUCUAGUUAGCCAAACCAAAUAAAAAGAUUAGAGAGAAUUACGAAGCUACCAUAAUCAUGCAUAUAAAAAUUCAAAAAGACUCAAAUAUAUUUAAUGAAUUGAACAUAAACCCACAAUUCAUCGGAUCCCAACAAACCCACAACACAAAGUGAUUACAUAAGAUAGAUCACCGCAGGAAUCACGGUGAUCGUGACAAUGAAGAACAUAGAGAGAGAGGUAGCCAUCUAGGUACUAACUACAGACCCGUAGGUCUGUGGUGAACUACUCACACAUCACCAUGGGAGCAGGAAGGUUGAUAUAGAGGCCCUCUGUG
rnacentral:lncRNA from 1 species